AAGUCGUAACAAGGUUUCCGUAGGUGAACCUGCGGAAGGAUCAUUAUUGAUUUGGGUUUUGCACACACCAGUGCUUCUCCCUUGCUGUACCCGCAAAACUGACCCGGAUGACCUCAUCUGUGAUGGUUUUGCUGGGUACACUGCAAAAAAAAUACUCUUGUGAACUCGUACUACCCAAUUUUUAUAAAUAUAGAAGCCUUAAGUUAUUUUUGUGUCCCCUCGCAGGGCUCAAUCAUUUAUUAAUUAUACAUAACUUUUAACAACGGAUCUCUUGGCUCUC
rnacentral:misc_RNA from 1 species